AAGCCUGUGUCCACUUGGUCACUAGGCAAUGUGGUGUUCAGGUCGUUCCGCAGAGACACUGCUCCACCCUAAGUCCAGCAAUGAGUACGGUGGUAUGGACAUGGCCCACAGAGGGUGAAAGGCCCGUGGGGGUGGAGGUUCGGCAUGUCGGUGUCUCUCUGGGUAGACCUUGGAGUCGGGUUGUUUGUGAAUGCAGCCCAAAGUGGGUGGUAAACUCCAUCCAAGGCUAAAUACCUGCACGAGUCCGAUAGCGAACAAGUACCGUGAGGGAAAGCUGAAAAGUACUUUGAAGAGAAGGUAAACAGCACG
rnacentral:rRNA from 1 species